ACGAACGCUGGCGGCGUGCCUAAUACCUGCCAGUCGAGCGGAACCAUUGGAGCUUGCUCCUUUGGUUUAGCGGCGGACGGGUGAGUAACACGUGGGCAACCUGCCCUGCAGAUCGGGAUAACUCCGGGAAACCGGUGCUAAUACCGAAUAGUUUGCGGCCUCUCAUGAGGCUGCACGGAAAGACGGUUUCGGCUGUCACUGCAGGAUGGGCCCGCGGCGCAUUAGCUAGUUGGUGAGGUAACGGCUCACCAAGGCCACGAUGCGUAGCCGACCUGAGAGGGUGAUCGGCCACACUGGGACUGAGACACGGCCCAGACUCCUACGGGAGGCAGCAGUAGGGAAUCUUCCGCAAUGGACGAAAGUCUGACGGAGCAACGCCGCGUGAGUGAAGAAGGUUUUCGGAUCGUAAAACGCUGUUGUGAGGGAAGAACAAGUACCAAGUAACUACUGGUACCUUGACGGUACCUCACCAGAAAGCCACGGCUAACUACGUG
rnacentral:rRNA from 1 species